rnacentral:lncRNA from 1 species
CUGUAUGUCCUCUCCAGCAGCUGAUGGAUAAGAAAUGAAUAUCCCAACAUCCUAUAGUGAAGAAAAUAAAAUAUUAUUAAUAAGUUUCGAUACAAAAGCAUAUAUGUUGAUGCGGAGACGUAUAUUUUGAUAUACUACUCUGAUUCUUGAAUAGAUUAUUCCUACAUAUUUCAUUCGAUGAUACAGAGCUAUAGACAAUCCCAAUCCAUUAUUUGGAUAGUUAGA